CUGAAGAAAGAGUACCCACUGUGCUCUGAAGCCACUGCCUGGUACAGGAAAUGGUAUACUUCGGGACAGACCCAGUAGCUCAAGCCAUGCACACAGCAACAGCAGAAGCAAAAGUUCUUUGCAAGGAACCGGAUUUUGACCAGUGAGAGAGGGGAAACAUCCCCAUGGUAUAAGCAAGAUUCUCAAGAUUUUUCAACAGAAGAUUAAGGAAAAAAGAGAUGGUGGGAAGCUGCUUCACACUGGGGAGGCUGAUGCAGAUCACUGGAUGAGCAGCUACUGAAAGGUGUGCCAGGACAGGAAACUGCACUUGUUUUCCACUGAGGGAGAAGCCUUUGCUGCACAGAGGUUGAUCAGACAGGGGAGGUUCUGCCAUCGCUGUGACGAG